CGCCGGUGCGGUGCAGGGAGCGCGGCUCCACACUCCACGCGACUUUGCGAGUGAAACAUUUCGCGGGUUUCGCGGACGCUGGGCGUGGGAUGGGGUUCCGCCGGCCGGAGGGGGAAUGGAAGGGAAACGUAGUGAGGGAAGACAACAGUAUUCCCGUUAAUUGAACGACUCUCGUGGAGAACGAGAGGGGUGGCUGCAAGACGAGGAGGCCCGGGACGCAGGGGGGCAGGAUUACUCGCAGUAAUUACUUAUUUUUAUUACGCUCCGCCUCUCUGCUUUCCCCCUCCCACCGCCUCGCCCGCGCCCCGUUGUCCUCCCCCCGUUGCUGCUCCGUGCCCGCACACUCCGCGACGGCCAAGACGACGAUGACGACGUCGACAACGAGAAUGACGACGACGACGUGGACGACGACGACGACAGCUGAGCCGUGCUUGCGGUGCCUCUUCGCCCCGCCCCUCGCCCCCCUCGCGCGGGCUCGCUGUCGCUCGCGCAACGUCACUUAUCGCUGGCCAACCACGAGCACCGCUGCUCCCCACGGAUCGGACCAUAUUUCGUCCCAGAUGUCUUUGAUGCGUAUCAAACCGAACGCUGGCCUACCGGAGAGCGCAGAUCUCCGCGACUAAUUAUCAACCGCGACCGAAUCCUGCCCGACCGUGGACCUCCGUCCCCAUCGCGUGCACGAAAGGAGCGAGGAUCGUGCCGGGCUGGGCCGAGCAUUCUUACCUCGCUGUUGAUCUUGCCCGAUGAAACACAAACACCUGCCAGCAAAAAAAACGUCUUGCGGCGGGAAAGAACAAGUAUCGAGAUCAACUCGACCUGUUCCAGAGAUGAGGACACGACCUUGUUCAGAACAGUGCCGUGGAGUUCGUUCCGAACAGAGAUUAACACGCGAAACAGGCGUUCAUCGUUAACCGCUUCUGCGAUAUCAGUGGAACCGGUGGACGUGCGUGGUUUUGAACCGCUCAACGUCCGUUCAAAUCCAGAGCUGAAAUUCUACAGAUACAGAAAUACUUCUCAACGAGAUAAAGAUGCAACAUCAACGUUUGAAUAAUGUUUCGACAUCGGAGCCAUUUGAAAAAUAAUGCAACGGUGACUCGAUGGUUAAUUAUCUUCGUUCACCGGCUGACAGGGCGGGUACCGUAGUAUCGCGCAACUUGGAACACCCGAAAGCCACCUGGCAACUGUGAUUGCAGCUGACAAGUGUCACCGUUAAGGACCAUCGAUCAACAGUUCGCGCGAAUCAACGGCCCAGAAGCGGGACAGCAUUCUUCCAUCCCCGAUGAACGCUCGUUUCAUGGAACGUCGGGCGUCAGUCAGCUCCCAUCUAAUCCAAUUGGCCCGCGUCUUCGUUUUUCCUAUCGCUGGACUUACUUUUACGAUCUUACAGGCAAGACUCCCAGCGACACGCUCCUCGAUUUCCGAUUUGCUCGACACAAGGAAUUCGAGCUCACGCGUGUCUCGAAUCGAACAUCCGCGAAGUUCUCGCGUCUCACGCUGGUUCGGAAAUUCGGUUUCUCUGUCCGAAAUUAUAUUUUUUCGAGCUUUAUAUAUAGUAAGAUACAUAUUUUUGUAAAAUUAUUGUACAUAUUUUUAUCAUAUUUGAAUGAAUAUUCAAAUAGCGUCACAUUGAUUGCAAUUCGAGUUUUACGAAAAAUGUAAAGAAGUGUGAGCACUAGAGUUUCUUUUACACGAAAAUUUAAACAAUUGCUAAGAAGACGAUGUCAAGUUUAGUUGCAACUUUUUGCAACCUUCGCGUAUAGAAUAAUUUAAACAAAGUUGCGAACAGUAUUUCGACGAUUGGAUAAAUCAAGCGGCAAGCCCACUUAUUGUCGUUGUCGUGAUCGUUGUCAUUAUUAUAAUGAUGAAUUUUUGUAGAAAAAUUAAAACUUGGCACGUUGACGUUAUUAAAUAUCAAGUUAAACUUUGAGUUUAACAAAAAAUGUAAGGAUGUGUGAGCAACGGAGUGUUUUUUACAUAAAAGUUUAAACAAUUGUUAGGAAGAGGAUAUCAAGUUUAGGUGCAACCUUUUGCAACCUUCGCGUGUAGAAUAAUUUAAACAAGGUUGCAAACAGUAUUUCGACGACUGGAUAAGUCAAGCAUUAAGCACGCUCGUUGUCGUCGUCAUAGUCGUUGUCAUUAUUAUAAUGAUGAAUUUUUGUAGAAAAACUAAAAUUUGAUACGUUGACGUUAUUAAAUAUCAAUUUAAACUUUUAGUUAAAAAGAAAAAUGUAAGGAAGUGUGAGCACUAGUGUGUUCUGUACACGACAGUUUAAACAAUUGCUAAGAAGAGGAUAUUAAGUUUAGGUGCAACUUUUUGCAACCUUCGCGUGUAGAAUAAUUUAAACAAGGUUGCAAACAGUAUUUCGACAACUGUAUGAGUCGAGCGGUAAGCGGGCUCGUUAUCGUCGUCAUUGUCAUUAUUAUUUUGAAUUUCUGUACAAAAAUUAAAACUACAUUUGUCUAGAUGACGUUAAAUAAAUAAAUAACUAAAAUAACCUUGUAACAAAAACACCGAAAAUUGAAUAAUUCUCAACUUAGUUUCUCGUCCCGAUUUUUCCAAGUUUCGAAAAUCGCAAAUUUCAAACAAUUUCAGAA